UUUCCCAUUGUGCGUCUAGCCUUUGAAAUGUAUUUCUCUGCUUUUUUUUUUUUAAAGCUAUAGAGAAAGGACAUUAUCUUUAGAAUCACUUGGAGGCUUUUUUUUUUUUCCUCUCCGAGUGGAGAGAAGGUGCCAUUCUUAGAAGUGGUUCAGGGUGGACACAGCCCCUCGCGGGUGUGGAUGGAGGUCGUGGGCCCACACUGGUGAGCAUCGCCCGAGUGUGGAUGGGGGCUGAUCCGUUUAGAGAGAGCUGCCCCUACUGCCUCCCCAGCCGUCCCACGUGGACAGUGUCACAAGGUAGACUAAGCGCUAAUUUUCAUCUUUCAAAAUGGACAGGCUGAGGAGAGGCAAAGACGUUUUGUCCAGAGCCAGUGUGGGUUUUGGCGAGGGGAGCGCGGCGGGACUUGGGUCCCUCUAUCCCCUGCUGUCUUAGGAGGUGUGUUUUCCGCGGCCACCGCUUUGGGCCCCCACCACGCUUCGCAUGGAGCCCCUUGCCCCAAGGAGCCGCGGCUGGCGACCGCAACUUCUGUGCUUUCUGCUCUGCUCCUGGGGACCCUGGGGAGUGGCGGGGGGGGGGGGGUAGUGGCGCAGGGGUUCUGGGCUGUGAAAGCAGGGUGGGCUCUGGCAGCGGGACAGAGGAGAGAAAGGACUUAAGCUGGGAUAAAAGGAAACCAAAUUUGUGAAAUACUUAAUGCUGUGGCAACUGAAUGGUGUCUAUGGUUAUAUGAAUUAGCCCUGUAAUUCUGCAUUUCUGUAAUCUUCACCUGAGACGAAGGGAUCGGAAGAGUGUC